UACAGAGGGUGCAAGCGUUGUUCGGAAUUAUUGGGCGUAAAGCGCGUGUAGGCGGCUUUGCAAGUCGGGUGUGAAAGCCCUCAGCUCAACCGAGGAAGUGCGCCCGAAACUGCAGAGCUUGAGUACCGGAGAGGAUGGCGGAAUUCCCCAAGUAGAGGUGAAAUUCGUAGAUAUGGGGAGGAACACCGGUGGCGAAGGCGGCCAUCUGGACGGAUACUGACGCUGAGACGCGAAAAGCGUGGGUAGCAAACAGG
rnacentral:rRNA from 1 species